CCCUCCCUCUGUCGGCAUGCCUAACACAUGCAAGUCGAACGAGACCUUCGGGUCUAGUGGCGCACGGGUGCUUAACGCGUGGGAACCUGCCCUUAGGUUCGGAAUAACGCCCCGAAAGGGGUGCUAAUACCGGGUAAUGUCUUCGGACCAAAGAUUUAUCGCCUUUGGAUGGGCCCGCGUUGGAUUAGCUAGUUGGUAGGGUAAAAGCCUACCAAGGCUACUAUCCAUAGCUGGUCUGAAAGGAUGAUCAGCCACACUGGGACUGAGACACGGCCCAGACUCCUACGGGAGGCAGCAGUGGGGAAUAUUGGACAAUGGGCGAAAGACUGAUGCAGCAAUGCCGCGUGAGUGAUGAAGGCCUUAGGGUUGUAAAGCUCUUUUACCCGGGAUGAUAAUGACAGUACCGGGAGAAUAAGCUCCGGCUAACUCCGUG
rnacentral:rRNA from 1 species